rnacentral:misc_RNA from 1 species
UUCGAAGCGAAUUUAGCCAAUCGGAAUACCGUUCAUUGUGUUCUUCGUGAUUAUUCGUGACCAUUGACUGUUCAGAAUUGAUCUUUAUUCUCUCGAUCUUUCAGUGCCCAAUGUGAGAGAGAGAGCGCAUUGAUUAUAGCGUAUUUUUAUAUUUUUUUUACAAAAUUCAUGGAGUUGGGCAAGUAUAUCGACGCUCUAGUGGCAGAGAAGAACAGUUUAGACCCGUCGUAUCACGUACACGCCGUUCGUUUGUUAGAAGAAGAAAUUGAGAGGGUUGAGUCGGGUCAGAAGGAGACUAGUAAAGAUGCUAUGGAUAAUUACAACAACAACACUCCUGAAGGCAAGGCAGGCAUUGAGCCUCGGGAAAGGAAACAGAAUUACAUGCGACAGUAUGAACGUGAAGUCGAACCUUGUAUUAAACUGUCAGAAAAAGUUAUGAUACCAAUCAAAAAAUAUCCCAAGUUUAAUUUUGUUGGACGGCUUUUGGGACCAAAGGGACACACAUUUAAACGCCUUCAAAAUUUAACCGGAUGUAAAAUGUCAAUUUUGGGCAGAGGAUCAAUGAGAGAUAGAGAAAAGGAACAAGAACUUUUAGAAUCCGAUGAUGCAAAGCAUGGGCAUUUAAAAGAAGACUUGCAUGUCUUAAUUGAAGUGGAAGCACCUAAGGCGGAAGCACAUGGCCGUCUUGCAGCUGGUAUAGCUGAAGUUCAGAAAUUCCUCAUUCCAGAUCCGAAUGAUCCAAUCCGUCAAGAACAAAUGCGUGAGUUGGCGUAUCUAAAUGGCUUGGACGAGGGUCCUACUGCAGUUGCUGCUCCUGUUGCCACGGUGAUUGCAAGUCCUGUUGUGAGAGGUCGCGGCCGUGGUCGUAGUGUUGCCGUAAGGGGUACACAUGUUGUGAGGUCUUCGGUUACCCAUGCCCUACCACGAUCUGCAGUUGUGGCAACUGUCAGUACACCACGACAUGCAAGUACUGCACCAGAAACCUAUGCUUAUGAAACACAUGAUGCUGGUUAUGAAUAUGAACAAGCUUAUCCUGAAGGAGAGUUGGUUUACUACACAGACUAUGCUGCUCCUGAAACAAGCUACUCGUCAAAUUCAGGCACCGUGCGAUUAAAGGCACCAAUAAGAUCAAUGAAGUCUUCAGCCCGCGAGUCUACCUAUCCUUACUAAAACACAUCAGUGGCAUUUUUGUAUUCAAGUAGAGCUGGUUGGAUAACGUUCGCAGUCGUCGCACUCGCAAAGAGGAAACGCUAUUGACGGGUCCCAUGCAGGCUUGCCAAAUGAUGUAGUUCUUCGAACUUGG